GAUAAAGAUAAGAAUAAGGAAGAUAAGAAGAUAAAGAUAAGGAAGAUAAGGAAGAUAAAGAUAAGGAUAAUAAGAUAAAGAUAAGAAGAUAAGGAUAAGGAAGAUAAGAAGAUAAAGAUAAGAAGAUAAAGAUAAGGAAAAUAAGAAGAUAAGGAUUAGGAAGAUAAAGGUAAGGAUAAGGAAGACUCAGGUGCGUUAAUGACUGGGUCAGGUUUCACAGUGAGCAUUAAUUCAUGAAAAAUAAAAGAAAAAUUAUUUACAACGAUUUUAAGAUGAAUUGACAGGGUUUUGGGCGUUAAUGCUACUCAAUAUAAUUUUAGAAUUUUUUUAACCAACCCAAAAUUUUAAAAAACGUGUCACGUGACCAGUUGUUGGUCUAAAAAUAGCAACGAAAACAUGGAACUUUUUCAACCGCUUUGCAGGGAAUGAUUUAGCGGGUUCUCACUGAAACAUUCAAUUACAAAUAGAUUGCCAAGGAACUCUUCUAACAUAUUCAAACUUGUAUCAGUGAAAAUGUUGUGUUAUUGUUGCGUAAAAUGGAUCCAAAGUCAAAACACGCGUUUCUACUUGCAUAUUUUCGAUCAUUAAAGCUACUUCUAGUCAAAAUGUUUUCGGUUUACGGUAUUUCUCAAGAAGUUGGACGUAUUUUCUAGAUAAUUAGCGCCUAAGCCUUUAAUGGUUGAUAAUAAAAACCUC